rnacentral:rRNA from 2 species
GCAGACGCUGGCGGCGUGCCUAAUCAUGCAAGUCGAGCGGAUGACGGGGAGCUUGCUCCCCUGAUUCAGCGGCGGACGGGUGAGUAACACGUGGGCAACCUGCCUGUAAGAUCGGGAUAACUCCGGGAAACCGGGGCUAAUACCGGAUGGUUCCUUCCUCCGCAUGGAGGAAGGCGGAAAAGACGGUUUCGGCUGUCACUUACAGAUGGGCCCGCGGCGCAUUAGCUAGUUGGUGGGGUAACGGCCCACCAAGGCAACGAUGCGUAGCCGACCUGAGAGGGUGAUCGGCCACACUGGGACUGAGACACGGCCCAGACUCCUACGGGAGGCAGCAAGUAGGGAAUCUUCCGCAAUGGACGAAAGUCUGACGGAGCAACGCCCGCGUGAGCGAAGAAGGCCUUCGGGUCGUAAAGCUCUUGUUGUAAGGGAAGAACAAGCAUCGGUUAACUUGCCGGUGCCCUUGACGGUACCUUUACCAGAAAGCCACGGCUAACUACGUGCCAGC